UAAAUGCAUGUGAAAGAGAUGAAUAUGAAUGAAAGAUAUAAAUGUGAAAAGAUUUAUUAAUGUAAAUAAAGAAAAUGAGUGUCAUGAGAUUUAAUAGAAAAUAAGAAAAGAAAAUUAUGAAUGAAGAAAUUAGUCAUCUUUAAAUAUGGAUCAUUUGAUAAAAUUAAUCUACAAUUUAUAUUCAAUAUGACCAACGGAUUCCAAAUAUAUAACUUCACACCGGC
rnacentral:lncRNA from 1 species